rnacentral:rRNA from 1 species
CGUAACGCGUAUACAAUCUACCUAAUACUGGAGGAUAGCCCGAGGAAACUCGGAUUAAUACUUCAUAGUAUCACAGAUAGGCAUCUUGAAGUGAUUAAAGAUUUAUCGGUAUUAGAUGAGUAUGCGUCUGAUUAGUUUGUUGGUGAGGUAACGGCUCACCAAGACGAUGAUCAGUAGGGGUUCUGAGAGGAUGAUCCCCCACACUGGCACUGAGAUACGGGCCAGACUCCUACGGGAGGCAGCAG